AACAGCUCAAAUUUGAAAUCUGGCCCUUUCGGGGUCCGAGUUGUAAUUUGUAGAGAGUGCUUCGGGGGAGAUGGCGGUCUAAGUCCAUUGGAACAUGGUGUCAGAGAGGGUGAGAAUCCCGUACGUGACCGCGGAUCGAACCCGUGUGAAGCCUCUUCGACGAGUCGAGUUGUUUGGGAAUGCAGCUCAAAAUGGGUGGUAAAUUUCAUCUAAAGCUAAAUACUGGCUGGAGACCGAUAGCGCACAAGUAGAGUGAUCGAAAGAUGAAAAGCACUUUGGAAAGAGAGUUAAACAGUACGUGAAAUUGUUGAAAGGGAAGCGCUGGCAACCAGACCUGCCCGUGGGCGAUCAACCGCUGUUCUCAGCGGUGCACUCGUUCUGCGAUCAGGCCAGCAUCGGUUUCGGCGGUCGGAUAAAGGCUUUGGGAAUGUAGCUUCCUUUCGGGGGAGUCUUAUAGCCCUCGGUGCAAUGCGGCCAGCCGGGACCGAGGACCGCGCUUCGGCUAGGAUGCUGGCGUAAUGGUUGUCAGCGACC
rnacentral:rRNA from 1 species